rnacentral:rRNA from 1 species
UACGUAGGGCGUGAGCGUUGUCCGGAAUUAUUGGGCGUAAAGAGCUCGUAGGCGGCCUGUCGCGUCAAUUGUGAAAGCCCGGGGCUUAACCCCGGGUCUGCAGUCGAUACGGGCAGGCUAGAGUGUGGUAGGGGAGAUCGGAAUUCCUGGUGUAGCGGUGAAAUGCGCAGAUAUCAGGAGGAACACCGGUGGCGAAGGCGGAUCUCUGGGCCAUUACUGACGCUGAGGAGCGAAAGCAUGGGGAGCGAACAGG